AGAGCGAACGUUAGCGGCGGGCCUAACACAUGCAAGUCGAACGAGAAGUGGGGGGCAACUCCCCUAGUAAAGUGGCGGACGGGUGCGUAACACGUAGGUAAUUUACCUUCCGGCGGGGACAACAGCCCGAAAGGGCUGCUAAUACCGCAUACGUCGGCGAGGUCUCCGGACCUUGUCGGGAAAGAUGGCCUCUCCUUGGAAGCUGUCACCGGAAGAUGAACCUGCGGCCCAUCAGCUAGUUGGUGAGGUAACGGCUCACCAAGGCUAAGACGGGUAGCUGGUCUGAGAGGAUGAUCAGCCACACUGGGACUGCGACACCGGCCCAG
rnacentral:rRNA from 1 species